AUUCUGCCAGUUUCAAAGGCUGCUGGGCUGAGCAAAGAGCAUUUUGUGACUCGUAGAGUGAAGUUAUAAUUGUGUUUACACACACUCGAGCCGGCAAUUAUUGUAUGGACAGAGUCUCCAGCGCUACAUUUUUUCCGUGCUGGUUUCUUUGUGCCGUGUUUCAACCGAUCUCCCUUUUUCAGUUAUUAAUGUUUAUUUUUAACUUUCACUUAUCGCCGCAACGGACACUUCUUCGUCCCUGUCUUCCGGAGGGGGGUUUUGUACCUGUGUUUUUGUGUUUGUCUGGAGAGUGGAACUUUAAACUUUUAAACACCUGCGAAGUGCGCGGCGGGUCCGAUUGUUAAUUGGGGAGCUUGAUGUUCAAUGAGGACGGUGGGUGAGAGCGAUAUGGUGUUACAAUAAUGUGGAUGGUACUAUGUCUCACGUUACUGGUUUGCCCAUUUGAAACCACGGCCAAUUGGUCCGGAUGGAGUGAAUGGAGUAUGUGCAGUAAGUCAUGUGACGGUGGAUUAUCCAAUCAAAAGCGGCGAUGUUACGGCAAUAUUAACUGCGCAGGACCGGGCGUUAGAUAUCGACAUUGCAAUACAAGACCAUGUAGCGGUUAUCUCUUGAACGAUAACGCCCGAAUCUGCAAUGUCCAUAACAGCGUAGGCAGCACUAGUGCUGUUCGGGAGUGGAGUCCGAUAUCAGAGCAAACAUACCCGUGUUUCGUGCUUUGUCAUGAUCUGUCUGGAAACACUCCGAAUGAAAUCAGAACAGACAAAGAAGAUGGCACCAAGUGUGGUUCUGCUGAAAAUUUCUACUGUAUACAGGGGGAAUGCAAGCGACUUGGCUGUGACGGAGAGGUGUGGUCUAACAAGGUGAUUGAUGGGUGUGGAGUCUGUGGCGGGGAUGGCUCAAAGUGCUCGACCAAUGCAACGAGGCCCCAGUUCUACUGGCAGCUGGACUGGUCGCCAUGCUCAGUCACUUGUGGCGUCACCAGGAAUCCAUCAUACACUGCAUGAAUAGCCGAACCAAGAGGAGGACAAUGGACUAUUUCUGUGACCGCGAGAUCAGACCCAGCGACCUGACCCGGGAGUGCUCCCCCUCCGACUGCCCUCCCCGGUGGGAAAUUUCCUCUUACGGACGAUGUUCCGUGGAAUGUGGCGGUGGAAUACAGCGCCGGAACAUCCGGUGUGUGGUAGGGACCGGAAGGGCGAACCUUAUAACAGUGGGAUCCUACCAAUGUCCUGAUCCUAUCCCAAUCACCGAAAAGGCUUGUAAUCUGAACUUUUGUCCUGCCAGUUGGCAGACUGGUAAAUGGAGCCAGUGUUCAGUAAGCUGUGGAAUAGGCACCCAAACCCGCAGUCUGACUUGCGUUAAAUUUCCAACUCACGGAAUAGAAAUCAACGUAUCGCAUUCGGAAUGUUUUGGAGCACGACCCGAGACCACUCGUGCCUGCUCAUUGGAAGCUUGUUUCAAGGAGUUUUUUUCAGUGCCUUCCAUUGUUGUUGAUAAUUCUACUUUUUUGCAAACUCAGCGCAUGAAAAAGGUGUAUCUUAAUGUCGGCGGCAAAGCCAUUUUAUUGCCAAAGCAACCGGUGAAAAUAAGAUGUGUAGUUAAGAAUAUGGAUAGCAGACUGAUAUUCUGGACUAAGGACGACCGUCUUAUUUCUGUGUCGCCGUACAAGAGAGUCCAUGUUACUCCAAAAGGAGUCCUUAAAAUUAAACGAACAGAUCCUAAUAUUGACAAAGGCACGUUUACUUGUAUGGCCGGCAUUGAAAAAGCCAGCACUUACAUAACUUUUCAAACCAAGAAAAAAGCCGUGAAGGUCGCGAAAAGUAUGAUGAAGCAUGUGUUACAAGAAGUUCCCAGUUUAGAUAAACCACAAUCGGAUAAAAUUCCGGGAUCGCAUGAUCAUCUGCGGCCACUAGGGGGCAACAGUUCCACACUGGCGGAGUAUAUGGUCAGUGAUUGGUCAGCGUGUUCUAGGAGCUGUGGCGCUGGCGUACAGACACGGGAAGUGACGUGCGGAGUAUUCUCUGACAAGUUCAUCAAAGUUGUUUCUGUAAAACAGUGUGAACGUCAAACGAAACCGGUCAACUUAAAAAAAUGUUUACUACAGGAAUUUUGUCCUCAGUGGGAUGUAGACAAAUGGGGAGAGUGUAGCGUAAAAACAUGCAAAAAGGUCGGUAAAGCAGUUCAACGCCGCGCAGUGUACUGCACAAACGGAAACGGAACUGUCAUUCGCCGAUCUAAAUGUCAAAAUGUGCCCGUACCCACGGGGUCCCGGGAGUGUGAUAAUGCGGACUGUAAAGUAGAAUGGAUUACCUCCAAGUGGACCAAGUGCAAACCCCAUUGUACACCUCGAGGAAAGAAGUUUAGAUCAUUAUCCUGUGUGUGGAAAAGAACACAAAAGUUCGCUUACUCUCAGUGUUCGUCACUUCCGCGUCCACAAGCAUGGAAACAAUGCAAAUCUAAUUGUAAAAAAGAGUGUCACGACCAUUCCAGGUAUUGUUCACUGGUAGGACGGUUAAAGAUGUGUCGAUACGAGACGUUCCGAGAGAAGUGCUGCCAAACAUGCAAACGUGUGACAGAAUGAGCCGUUCCUACCCAGUGUAUGUUAGCUGUAUUGUUAUCAUGUUCGGUAGAUAAAAAACAAGAGAUGGGAAAAUCAUAGCAUAUGCCGCUCCUUCAGAAUGAUGCAAGGUUAUUCCCGACCAAGGUCAGAUGGACGCCUUAACUGUGUACAGGUUUUACAAGAUUCUUCUGAACAUAUACGAUAUAUAACGAAUAUAAUUAUACAUUUACAACUAAGCAGAAUGUGAGCUGUUUCAAAUCGUUUUAUUUUGUACUGAUUUCUUUUUUACACAGAACUUAAUUUUGGAAGUGAUUUAAAUGUAAUAAAAAUUGGAAACACU
rnacentral:misc_RNA from 1 species